CUUUAGGGGGACACAAAGAUGAAGUCUCUGGCGGAGCAGCUCAGACUGUGCUGUCGAGCCAACCUUCAAAACUACCGCUGUUUUUCCAGUAAUUCACCAGUCUUCUGUCAGCCAGCUUAGAGCAGGGGAGCGAGACCACCACAGAGUAACAGUAAUGUCGAACUGUGCGUGGUGAAGACAGAUUGGGAGCAUCAAUCACUGUCAAACCAGUUUCGCUUCACACCCUCCCUGAAGGCAGACCAUGUCGGUCGACAGCUCGAGACCACCAUAGCAGUGAUUGAUUAUAAGAUCACAGGACUCGUGAAAGUAUUGUGUGUACAGGUACUUGUGUGUGUGUGUGUGUGUGUGUGUGUGUGUAUGUGUGUGUGUACUUUGCAAAUUGCUGUAAUUGUGGCUACUCGUGGA
ensembl:lncRNA